rnacentral:lncRNA from 1 species
AUUGUAAAUACUAAAUAUAUGUCAAAACAAAUUAAAUUACACCGAUUCUGUAUAUAUCCUCAAGUUUUAGAGGUCAGAUAUAAUUUUAAACAAAUCAAUUACACCUUUUCCAUAACGAAAAGUAGAGGAAGAAUGAAAAGGUUUAAUAGAGAUAAUAAAUUCGGUAUAAAUUUUACGGAGAAUUUCUUCCUCAAUUGCCCAAUACAAUAUCGGUGAACAAAGAAUUGAGAUGGAUCUCACUCUGAUAUCAUGUAAAGAAUAUAUUUUGAAUCUAACUUAAUCCAAAAGACUAGCUCAUGAGGGGAGAUUGUCUACAUACAUAUAAGGAGACCAAUAACCUAUUUAUUUUUUUUCGAUAUGAGACUCUUAACAAAAAUGAAGAGUGCUCACCUUCUGCAUAACUCUCUCUUGUCUCAUCCUCAGUAUAUGCAGGAUGGAUGCUUAGCUACACAAUAGUUGAAUACAAGUUCUCCAAAAACUAAACUAUACAUGAUAUUAUCCUUCCUCUAACUAGAUAAACUAAUUAAUACAUAUGCAUUCUUCGUUAAAUGUAUACCACUAAUUAAACAAAUAUAAGGAUAAACUCACCAACAUGGGUAGUGGUGCAGUGGUGGGAUUACUUCACCUUUAAUCAGAGAUCUCGGAUUUGAGUCCUGGGUAAGGAGAAAAUCUUGUAGGGAGCACUAUCUUCAAAAUAGGCCCCGCAAUAUGUGAUCCGGAUUAAUCCCCGUCAAUAAAGAUAACGGACACCGAACACUGGGUGAGAAAAUAAAAAGUAAGGACAAACUCAGUAUUGAGAUGUCCUAACAAAGAAGCAGAAAGAAAGAAUGACUGCAGCCAAACUAAUUAAUAUGCUGAACUACCACCACGAAUAAGCAGUUGUAAAGGACAACAUAUGUUAUGAUUACUAUGUAAUAUUUAAGAAAGAAAAAGAGGUGUCUUCGUACGUACAUUAAUGUUCCUCUUGACUCCAACAUCGACACGUUGUUACUUAAAAUUUUUAGUCCCCUAGCUACUCAUGGCUUGUUAUGCAUAAUGCUCUAGGUAUCCCAGAAUAUUAUUGCCUCUCCCGAUGCUGGUUGGUUUUCUCAUAAAUAUAUAGAUAUGUCAAAAGUAAUUAAUUGCAUUCACCAUAUCAAACAGCGUCAAUAUUAUCUCAAAUAUACAGUCUUCUUCUUAAAAUUAUGCCUCGCAUCGUAAAGUUCUUUCAGACAGACUAAGAAAUGAAAAAACACUAUCGGGGAUAGACUAGCUAGCUACCUUCUGUAGAAUUCAAUAUCUUAUUUUCAGAAAAAUAGGAGGUUAGGGUAUUAGGGAUGAUAAAAUAAAGAAUCGAAUCUACACCAAAUAAAUAAAAUAUCGGAUAAUCAACCAAUUGAGCCACUAUAAUUUUUCGGCCCUAUAAUUUAAUAGUAUUGCUCGAUAACGACAUAAAUCUUCCUUCUCUCUCAUAAUACAGCCUUUGUUAAAUGACAAUAGCUAGAAGUAUGAAACUCACAAUUUACAGCUUUGAAUUUUACGAAGUUAGGGGUAACUAUUAAGUCGAUCUGGCCAAUUAAUUGUAUAGUACGAAGUCGGGGUGAUCUCGACCUAUCAAUGCAGGUACUUUUUAUGCACUGAAAUUGUACCAUUACAUCUGUCCACACAGUACUAGAUACAAUAGUCACCCUUAAAUCUACCUAGUAUGGACUAAUAAAUCGAUUCCAAAAAAUGUACAGUGGCUAGUAUAUAUGGACACACUGAAAAUAUCUAGCCAACUAAUUAAGACAGUGUUUGAAUUAACUUAUUUUGAGAUGUUAUUGACUUUUAAGUACUUUAAAAUUUUUGAAGAUGUUUAAUAAAGACAAAAAAUAUUUGUAAGCACUUUGCUAUAGGUAAAAAGGUACCCAAAAAAAGUAAAAAAUUGGUAGCAAACAAUCAGUUUUUGACUUUUAGGUUUUAGUUUAUAACAACAAUAACAAUAACAGUGUAUUCCCACAAAGUGAGGUAUGGGGAGGGUAAGAUGUACGCAGUUCAUACCACUAUAUCUGAAGAAGUAGAGAGGUUGUUUCCGAUAGACCCCCGGCUCAAGAUGGAGAAUAGUACAUCAAGAUAGUAAAGAAACAUGUAACAGGAAAAGAUGACAUACAGAAACAAGACAUAAUAGAAAUAAUUAUCAGAGAAGUACGAAAAACAGAAGUACGAGCAAUUUGAAAUAAGAAAUAAGCACUAGGACACCACCUAGUAGAAACCUACAUUCACAAACCAGAGGCUCCUCCUUAAGGACACAGUCCUAGUAACAUACACUCACCCACCCCACCCAAACUCACCUGGCUAAAGGCCCCUACUCAAGGACACAGGCCUAGGAUUACUGCCCGGCUACCCAAUCGGUCUCCUAACACCUUACCAAAAUCCACACACUCACCCUAACCUUCUACCCUAAUUCGCAACCUCCACACCUUCCUAUCUAGGGUCAUGUCUUCAGUAAGCUGCAGCUGCUCCAUGUCAUGUAUAAUCACCUCCAUCCAGUACUUCUUCGGCCUACCUCUACUUCUCCUAAAGCCAUCCAAAGCUAGCAUCUCACACCUUCAAACUGGGGCAUCCGUGCCCCUCCUCAUCAUAUGACCAAACCAUCUCAACCUUCUUUCUCACAUCUUAUCCUCCAUCGAAGCCACUCUCACCUUCUCUUGGAUCGUUUCAUUCCUAACUCUAUCCCCACUAGUAAGUCCACACAUCCAGCGCAACAUUCUCAUUUCCGCCACCUUCAUUCUUUGGAUGUGAGAGUACUUGACUGGCCUACACUCCGCUCCAUACAGCAUGGUCGGGCGAACUGCCACUCUAUAGAAUUUGUCUUUAAGCUUAAGGGGAACCUUCUUAUCACACAACACUCCAGAGGCGAGCUUCCACUUCAUCCACCCUGCUCCAAUACGUUUAGAGACAUCCUCAUCAAUCUCGUUAUUCCCCUGAAUCAUAGACCUAAGAUACUUAAAACUGUCCUCUUACAAAUAUCCUGUGAAUCUAACCUCACCACCACUUUGUCCUCCUAACUCGCGUCACUAAACUUGCAUUCCAAAUACUCUGUCUUGGAUCUACUCAACCUGAACCCUUAGACUCGAGGAUUUUUCUCCAAACCUUCAGUUUCUCAUUCACACACCCCCGCGUUUCAUCAAUCAGUACUACAUCAUUCGAAAAUAGCAUACACCAAGGCAACUCACCUUGAAUACUCCACAUCAACACGUCUAUUACCAAUGCAAAAAGGAAAGGGCUAAGAGUCGAUCCCUGAUGCAAUCCCGUCUCGACCGAAAAAUGCCCUGAGUUACCUCCCGCCAUUCUCACCUGAAUCUUUCCUCCAUCGUACAUGUCCUUAAUAGGUCUGAUGUAUGCCACCGAAACACCUCUAACCUCCAAGCAUCUCCAAAGAACCUCUCUAGGGACUUUGUCAUACAUUUUGUCCAAGUCCAUGAACACCAUGUGGAAAUCCCUCUUCUUUUCCCUAUUGUCACACUCUUUUUUUCGACAAAAAGAUUGAUUUUAAAUGCUUCGAAAGGGGUUUUUAUUCUUAAGUGACAAAAUAAAGAUUGGUUUCGAAAAAGACUUUUUAUAUUCCUAGGAGGUACAUCUUCUAGGAAUAAAGGGGUAUGACUCGACUAAAAGGUACGUCUUAUAGGAAUCAAGGGAGAUAACUCAACUAAAAGAUACUUUUUCUAAGAGUUAAGGGGAAUGACUUGACUAGAAGGUACGUCUUAUAGGAAUUAAAGGAGAUGACUCGACUAAAAGGUACGUCUUAUAGGAAUCAAGGGAAUGACUUGACUAAAAGGUACGUCUUAUAGGAAUCGAGGGAGAUGACUCAACUAAAAGGUACAUCUUAUAGAAAUCAAGGGAGAUGACUCGACUAAAAGGUACGUCCUAUAGGAAUCAAGGGAGAUGACUCUACUAAAAGGUACGUCUUAUAGGAAUCAUAGGGAAUGACUCGACUAAAAGGUACUUCUUCUAGGAAUCAAAGGGGGAUGACUCGACUACAAGGUACGUCUUCUAGGGGUCAAAGAAUGACUCAACUAAAAGGUACGUCUUAUAGGGAUCAAGGAAUAACUCGACUAAAAGGUACGUCUUAUAGAGGUCAAAAGGAAUGACUCGACUAAAAGGUACGUCUUAUAGGGGUCAAGGAAUGAAUCGACUAAAAGGUACGUCUUAUAAGGGUCAAGCGGAAUGACUCGACUAAAAGGUACGUCUUAUAGGAAUCAAAGGAAUUGACUCGACUAAAAGGUACAUCUCUUAGGAGUGAAGGUUCAAUUUAAAAAGUGUAUCACCUAACAAAUGAAAACUGAAAUCCCUGGACAAGUGUGUCUUCGAGGGAUAUAGGAUGAUGAAUUUUUACCAUGAUUUUAUUAUCAAACCUGUGCAGUAAUAUUGCUUUCUGUAUUUGUAAAAGUGAGGCAUUGCAGCCCUUGAUGUUUAUGCUUUGAAGUCCCUGCUUUGAAGGUAAUAUGCUUCCUGUUUCAUCAAAGAAAACUCAUGAGUUUAAAACAUGGUGGCUGGUUUGUGGCUUUAGCUUUCCCGACGAUCGCUCUUGCCCUCGUCAUAUUUAACCUUGCUUCCAAUCAUUAUCAUAUAUCAUUGACUUACUGAGUCAUUGACCCGAACUCAGAUUAUUAAGAGUGACUGAAACAAACACAGUAUCUCUGCUUUGCCCUGCUUCUCAAAUAGACCCUUUGAACCUUGGUAUGUCCAUGAGUUCCCCAACUUGUCAGUUGAUAAAACUUUCUGCAUGCCUUUUUUUUUUGGCUCACAAUUAUGUCUCUUUCAUGUGCUAGCUUUUGUCUUGCUUUGUGCAAUUAAAGAAGCUGGUAGCCAGUUUUGAAAUCUUUUCUCACUUGUUUUGACACGGAUUUGACCUAAAGACAAGAAAGAAAAAAAGUGACAAUUUUUUUUUUUGGAUAACUGACUCAAGAAAAAUAAAACAAAAAUAAAAAGAAGAAAGAAAAGACAAUGAACGUCCCCAUUUGAAACAAAGAAAUAAAAAAUUUAUCUAAAAAUGACAGUUAACUCUAAUGAAUAUGCCAUGCAUUUUGGAUUAAGCAACUUGAUCUUUUCAUCCAAACUUUCUGCUAAUUGUUGUUGAGUUAAUGGCCAUGAAAUUGAGUUGCUCCCUUAGGCUAAAUUCAUUUGGAAACCUCAUUCGGCUAGUGGCGCCUUGAAGGGUUUUCGCCAACAAAGCUGUUUUUUUCUCUCAGCUCACCAUUUCCUUAUGGUGUCCGUGAGGGUUUUCACCAAUAAGACUCUCUCAUUUUUAUUUCACUUAACUUACCAUCGCCUUAUGGUGCCCGUGAGGGUUUUCACCAAUAAGAUUCUGUCAUUUUUAUUUCUCUCCUGAUAUCUUAUGCUGAGGAAGACAAGUAGUACCCAAAAUGCAUCAUCAUAUCCAUUGCAUACUUAGCCUUAGCAUUCUCAAAGAUUAAUCUGAAGGUCUUUCUUUGGUUGUAACUUGAAUUUUGGAUAAAGUUAGAAAGAAGGGAUGACAUAAGGCCCAAACGACACUUGAAGUGGUAUAGGACUUACAACUUUUAGAAUCGACUCAAACAAUGAGGAUUAACUUAUGCCCCGAUUUCUUUUGACUGGGUAAUGCUAAAUUAUUUAUUUAGUUAGACCGAGCCCAGAGUAGGGCAGCCUACGUAUCUCACCCCUGAUAGAGGAGAAUCAGGUCACGCAUAGUUCUGGCAACUUGUUCUUUUGCUUGGUUCUGAUUUUUUUUUUGCUUUUCUCUUUUAUUGACUUUUUUUUUCUUUGAAACUUUCUGACUCUAUUUGUCUCGACACUUUUCUUUUUUACUUUCUUUUUGGACAUUUUUUUUUACUUUACUAUUUUGAUCGAUACUUUUCUUUUGAGCUUCGCUGACUCUAUCUUGAUUCCAAAAGUAGGGUAUGAAAGAAAAUAACACUAAGGCUCAAAUGGGGUAAACAAAGGAUGACACAAUAUCUGGAUAGCAGAAUAAAAUGUCUUCGUUAUAUCAAUCCUUAAAAAUGCAGUACAUAGCAUGAAAUGUGAAGGUACGUAAUCAAUAUCACUUAUGACAUGUUUUACAACACAAAAUUGCCCCGAGCAUAUGUGCAACCUCUUCCUCUAUAUUUGUCGAACAACAACUCUACCUUUGUUGUACAUCCCUCACAUUGAAUGACUCAUGCUUUCAUGAAGUUGGUUUUUGUUCUGUUCCUCGGGAGCACACAUCCGUUAUUUGACCUAAUUGAGCUUCAAUUGAUGACCAAGUUAUUCUUGUGAUUCUCAAAAUAAUUGCCUUAUUUGAACUUAUCACCAAAUAUCUCAGCACUCUACCUAUUUUCUCAGAUGCUCUCUUUUUCUAACUUUAACCCUCUGAUUCAAUGUUUCAUGGUUAAGCUGGAUUUUAAGAUCUGACCGAAAAUUCCCCAGUCAUGUCAUAACACUAGAAUCAACAUAAAAUAUGAUAUGUAAAGCAAACAAACACAUAUUUAAAACACAAAGGAAAAGGGACACUUCAUUUAGUUGAAAUAAAAGAUAGAAAGAUUUGAACAUAAAUGACAUAGGGACAAAACAAGAUAGAUCCCAAACUACAACCUUAAAAUAAUUUGAAAAAUAGAAAACAAAACAAAACAAACUACCAGACCGCUUCCUAGUAGGGAGAUGGGUGAUUUCUCAAUUGCUCAGCCUGACAUCUUAGCCACUGGUUUGCAUAUCAGCAUGACUAGGGCUUUCCUCACUGUCAAUGUUCUGCACCAUAAUUGAUCCAUCUUGAAUCAUCUUUUUAAUUUCUCUUUUCAAAUCUCGACAAUCUUCAAUACUAUGACCUUGAGCAUCACAAUGAUAUGCACAUCGUACGUUAGGAUCAAAAUUUCUUGAACACUAAUUAAGAGUGUGACCAAAGAGAGGAGUAAUCAUGCCCCACUGUACCAAUCUCUGAAAUAAAUUGGCAUACAACUCUCCAAUUGGUGUAAAGCUAUCUCUCGAAUUCUACCUCAUUUCAUCAUUUGGCUUGGAUUGAAAAUCAGGCUUAGAAGGGUUUUGGUAUGUUUUUGGAGUUAGAAGACGACUCUGAGAAGUUGGUGUGUUCCACUGUGGGUAAGAUAGGGGUUGAACAUAUAGCUGUGCAUUAUAUAUUGGAUAUGGAGGUGGAGGAGCAGAGUAUAAUGGAUUUUGGGAGUGAUUAUGUGGAGCUUGGGCAUGAACUUGGGUUUGAGCCUGAGAGCGACGACGACGUGGUCUCCUUGACCUUUCCUGCUGUCCAAAUACAAUAGAAGAUACAUCUUCUUCAUUCUUUUUCUCCCCAACACAUCCUGAACCCUUUUGAAUUGCUUGAGUAGUCGUUUUUAAUAUUACAAAACUCACAAUGCGAACAAUCUUAAUUCCCUCUUAUAUCAUCUCCCCUAUUUUAAAGACCUCAAUGAACGGCUUGCCUAAUGCAGGUAACAAGUGUUGAUAAUAUGUUUCGUCCUGCGCUUGAAUAAAUACCUGCACUAUCUUGCUUUCUUUCAUUGGCGGUUUCACUCUAGCAGCUUGUUCGUGCCAUCUGAUCGCAUACUCCCUGAAGCUCUCAGUAUUCUUCUUCUUCUUCUUCUUCAUACUAGUUAGGGAUUUUUCGUCAGGGAUCAACUCCACAUUGUAUUAAAAUUGUUGCACAAAUUCAUUAGCUAGGUCAUCCCAACUAAUCCACUUGUUAAUGUCUUGUCAACUAACCAUUCCAAAGCUAGGCCUGAAAGACUCUCCCCAAAAUAAGUCAUGAGUAGUUCUUCUUUCCCUCUAGUGCCCCUUAAUUGGUUACAAUAACGUCUCAAAUAUUCCACUGGGUCCCCAUGUCCGUCAUAUUUCUCAAACUUUGGCAUUUUAAAAUCGGGAGGAAGGUUGACACCUAGAAACAUGCAUAAGUCCUUAUAUGAGACACUUUUGUAACCCCCAAGUCCUUGCAAGUUUUUCAUAGCUAGUUCCAAACUUCUUAAUUUUUUGUUCUUCUAUCAUAAUAGGCUUCUCAGUGUUAGGAGGAAAUUCAGGCGGGUGAGUGUCACUGUAAAGACCAAUCAACUUGAAUGUAGGCUCGGAAGUGUAACGCUGAUCACCAGUAAUAUUCAAUACAGGCUCUCUUGUAGAGUUGGGAGACACAACUUGUGGAUGAAUAUCAAAAGUAAAAGCUUCGGGUAGGGGUGGCUCCACAAAAGUACGAACAACAGGUGGAGCUGAGUAUGUGGUAUUCUUGGAUUGGGGAGUGAGGAAAUGAACAUUGGAAGUGGUUGUAUAUUGUUGCCUCGGAGUUGAUCCUGAUGCAUGUUGUGGCACAUCAACAAAAAUGGGAAAUUGGGCAUGUGACACGGGAGGCAAGCUAGAAAGAUAUUCUAGAUUAUCAGUGGGAACUUGGGGAGGAGGCAACCCAUUAGCCCAAGCUCGAUGCAUUUCUAUCAUUUGCUGCCUUAAUUUCUGAAUCUCUUCAUUAGCUCCUAAAUUCUCAUUUCCCGAACUCUCUUUCUGAUUAGUGACAACAAACUUGAUAUCCUUGUUGGCCAUAGCUUUUUCUGUGACUUGGUGCAAUAAGGAGGACCAACCAAAAUGCCACAAAUCAACCACCUUAAACUAACUGUAUAAGAGAUAUCAAAUGCGUUAGAGUUCAGCAAUUUUUCAAAAUCUCUUUUUUUCUUGAAAAGAUCACCAAACCCAAGAAUGACGCCUACAUAACUCACCCUCGAGAGGAGAGAAUCAGGUGUGCGUAGUUCGUGAUGUCUUGCCAAAAUGGCCAACUAAACUCUUUUUCCUUUUUUUUUUCUUUUUCUUGAAACUUUAAAAAGAAAAGGAAAUAAUAAAUUGUCAAAAUAAUCGACGAAAAUCUUUUUGCAUUUUUCAGAUUUAAACCUAUACAAAAUGAAACCUAUGAUUACCAAAGAAACUCUUUUGGGGGUUUCAAUUUUGAAUUUAAUAUGAAAAUAAAACUUGAAACUAUUAACAGAAUAUCUUUUUGUGUUUUUCUUUUAGAAGAUGUAUAUAACACCCACUCUAAGUGAAGAGUGAAGAAAGUCUUUUUUAAAUUUUUUCAGAUUUCUAUACAAAAUGAAACCUACGAUUAUCAAAGAAAAAUCUUUUUGGAUUUUCAAUUUUGCAUUUCAUACAUAAAUAAAAUUUGAAAUUAUUAAAGGAAAAUCGUUUUGUAAUUUUCUCUUGAAGAUGUACAUGAAACACCCACUCUAAAUGAAUAUUGAAUAAAAUAUUUUUUUGGAUUUUUGAACCCCGAACCCACAAUAGGCUGCCUAAGUAUCUCACUCCCGAAAGAGGAGAAUCAGUGGUGCGUAGUUCGUCCAGAUAGGAUAAUUAUGAAUUAAAUGAUAAACUAAACCCUGAAUUGAGAGACACCACUAAAGACAAAUGAAUAAAAUAUUUUUUAGGAUUUUCACUUUGACACUCUACAUAAAAUUGACACCAACAACUAUGAAAGAAAAAUCUUUUUGGUAUUUUCAUGAAAUUUACAAAACUCCUAUAAUUUUUGCAUUUUUCUUUUAUAAAAAUCCUAUAAAUGAAAAAUCUUUUUUUGAAGUUUUCGAAUUGUGAAUACUUGCUAAAGGAAACAAAAAAAAAAAUCUUUUUGAUGUUUUUGAUUUUGACAAAUGAGUGCAAAAGGUAAAAAUCUUUUUGAAUUUUUGGAUUGUGAAGAACAAAAGCCAUAAAAAAAACUCUAAAAAAACUACGAAACUCUUUUUCGAUUCGACUUUUCUCUUUUUUCCCUCUUUUUUUUUUUUUGAAAAAACUUUUUCUUGCCUACACACUUCCUUUAAUUCUAGUAUAUGCUUUUGCCCAAAUCAAUCUGUCAAAUAACUCUAUUACCCUCAAAGAUGCAAUAUUUAGCACGUAGGGAUGCUUUAGAGGUGAGUCUUCUACAAAGGGUCAAGUGGAUCCCGUUAGAUCUCAAUAUGAAGCAAAUAAGCAUGACCUAAAGGCUGACCUACGCUGGGAUUCACUAACAAGGCUAUUCGGGAGAGCGUAUGGUCGAUAGUGGCUGCGCUAGCUUUUCACCCACUCCAUACCAGCCGACAGCUCCCCCUCCUAAAAAUAAGGGUGACUCAACUAUAGGUCAUGUACACAGCGUGUACUAGAGAACUUGUUGCAUAAAAAAUUAACUUGGGUUAUACAAAUGAUGCCAGAUAUAAAGCGAUAACACAUAAGAGAAAAACUGUAAACACGUAGCACGUAGGUACUCAACAACGAUAAACAAAUACCUAAUAACACAACAAUGUCUAUACACCCAUAAUAUCAAAUUAAGCCGAUACAACUCCAAAAAAUAAGCUCAAAUUCUGAAAGUCCCCAGCAGAGUCGCCAAAGCUGUCACACCCCAUUUUUCAAUAAAAAGAUAGAUUUUAAAUGCUUCGAAAGGGUUUUUUAUUAUUAAGUGACAAAAUGAAGAUUUAUUUCGAAAAGGACUUUUUAUAUUGAAAACUCAGAGUCGCCACUUGGCAUAAUCUGGUGUACCAAGUCUCCUUUGAAAAAUCCUUUUCAAAACUGUUCUGACUCUUUAAAACUGAUUUGCGAAUAGAGAUUCCGGCUAAGGAAUUCUAUUGACUGAGGGGAAGGUGUUAGGCACCCCUCGAUCCCGUAGUUCGACUACGGUCUCUUGGUGAAGUGUAUCGGCUAAUUUAAAAUUACGGAUGUAUAAACCACAUUAACAUGCAAAACAAGAAAACAAACAAAUGAAACAAAAAUUCAAAAUCAGAAUAAUGUCCAGUUCAAAUUAUAUAGUCCAGGAAUAAAUAAUGAGGAAAUAUAAAUCUAUUCUACCCUAUACUAAUCCUUUACUACGCUCCAUUGCUUCCCCGACGCCUCGGGCUUUCCUCACGAACGUCUUCCGCCAACAUAGUACGUCGGGACAUUUCUAGAUGAGUAAAUACAAUUGUCUUGGGGCAUUUCCCGACUAAAUGAAUACAUUUGAAUUAAAUACGAUAAACUAGAAAGAAACAUUCAUACGCACAUUCCAACAUUCAACCUAAAUGACAAGUUCUAAAAUUUUGCCUACCCGAACCUAUAUUGCCUAUCCGUUUCAACCUAUUAUAGAUCUAUCAUGGUUCAUACAAUAUUCAUGUUUAUUCCAUAUUAAACAAACAAUAAUAAACUCAAGUUAAUCUAAUUCAACCAUUUUUAUCAAGUUCUCAAUUCCACCCCGCUAGCUUCGUUUUUAUCAAUUACACCAUCACCAUUACUCCAAUUUGUUCUCAUAUCACCGAAAUCACAUCAUCAAACACAUAAUCAUCACAUCAUAACAUUAUAACAUCAACAAAAAUCACCAACCAUGAUCAUACCACACAUAAUCACAACAAUUCAACAAAUUAAGGUAAAAAAGAAUGAGUUAAGAGAAUGGACCUUUCGAUAAUCAAUUUCGGUUGAUAGAAAUAUUAAAGAAGCCCCGGAUUUAGAAUUUCCAAUCGAAAACCUCAGCAGCUUCACAAUCCAACUUGGUAUCAAGGCAAUAUUAACCAAUCAAUUUCAAAAACCAGUGAGACAACUCUUAAUGGGCAAACCAAAUCACGAACGUUGAUAUGACUUAAAUGCGUAGACCUCAAAAACCCAAUAUCAAAAUGAACUGCGAGAAUCACGAACCCAAAACCCAAUCACAACCGCAAACCAAAAAUGAUUAGCCUGAGCUCCGGUGUGCUUAAACGGAAGCAGAAAUGACAAAUCAAAAGGGAUUCCAGUGAAUGUUAAAGUUUUCUGGCUGGGUUUGCUUUGAAAUCGAUGGAAAACAAAGAGAUUUAAGUACCUUAGGCUUGAAUCGAUCAAAAGGGUGACCUAUAAACUUAUUUCGGUAAAAGUUUCACCGGAAAACAGUCAAACCGGUGGAUUCACGUUCUUAUCCCUUUCCCGAUCUCCCUCCUUCAAUCCCUCUUCAUUUUAUUGAUUUCCUCUUCCUAUGUAGGUGUAUAUUGCGAGUGAGUGUAUGUGUGUGGUAUUCCGUGAGAAUGUGCGAAGAACAAAAAAAGAAGAGGGAAGAUCAUCCCUUUAAUGGCGUCUCUGUGUAUGUGCUUUUACAAAGAAGAAAGAAAAAGAAGCCAAAAAUGUUUUCUCUAUUCGUCCCCUCCUCAAAAUGGGUUCUCCUCUGUAUACUAUAUUGGAAAAGGAUCCUUCCCUGGAAAGUUCCUUUUUUAGUGUAUUUAUAAUAUUCUUUUUUUUUUUGUUUUUUUGUGAAUUAGUUUAAAAGGCCGUGAGAAAGGUAGGGGUAGGAGGGACACGUGAACGGGUGAGGGGGUAGGGGUAGGUAGGUGAGAUGUGAGGUGUCCUCUUUUAAUUGGAGAGAUUGUUAGGAUAGGAUUAAAAUAAGGUAAAAUUUGUUAAGGGUUGUUUUUGUUGUAUUUUAUGGAGGGAUAAUUACAUGGGUG